rnacentral:rRNA from 1 species
GACGAACGCUGGCGGCGUGCUUAACACAUGCAAGUCGAACGAUGAAGCUGGAGCUUGCUCCGGUGGAUUAGUGGCGAACGGGUGAGUAACACGUGAGCAAUCUGCCCUUGACUCUGGGAUAACUGCGGGAAACUGUAGCUAAUACCGGAUACUUUCACUGGAAGGCAUCUUCUGGUGAAGAAAGAAUUUCGGUCAAGGAUGAGCUCGCGGCCGAUCAGCUUGUUGGUGAGGUGACGGCUCACCAAGGCGACGACGGGUAGCCGGCCUGAGCGGGUGACCGGCCACACUGGGACUGAGAGACGGCCCGGAAUCCUACGGGAGGCGGCAGUGGGGAAGAUUGCACAAGGGGCGCAAGCCUGAUGCAGCAACGCCGCGUGAGGGAUGAAGGCCUUCGGGUUGUAAACCUCUUUUAGCAGGGAAGAAGCGAAAGUGACGGUACCUGCAGAAAAAGCACCGGCUAACUACGUGCCAGCCGCCGCAGUAA